UACGAAGGGGGCUAGCGUUGCUCGGAAUCACUGGGCGUAAAGCGCACGUAGGCGGACUCUUAAGUCGGUGGUGAAAUCCUGGAGCUCAACUCCAGAACUGCCUUCGAUACUGAGAGCCUUGAGUCCGGGAGAGGUGAGUGGAACUGCGAGUGUAGAGGUGAAAUUCGUAGAUAUUCGCAAGAACACCAGUGGCGAAGGCGGCUCACUGGCCCGGUACUGACGCUGAGGUGCGAAAGCGUGGGGAGCAAACAGG
rnacentral:rRNA from 1 species